UACGUAGGGUGCAAGCGUUGUCCGGAAUUAUUGGGCGUAAAGAGCUCGUAGGCGGUUUGUCACGUCUGCUGUGAAAACUGGAGGCUCAACCUCCAGCUUGCAGUGGGUACGGGCAGACUAGAGUGCGGUAGGGGAGAUUGGAAUUCCUGGUGUAGCGGUGGAAUGCGCAGAUAUCAGGAGGAACACCGAUGGCGAAGGCAGAUCUCUGGGCCUGUCCUGACGCUGAGGCGCGAAAGCUAGGGGAGCGAACAGG
rnacentral:rRNA from 1 species